GGUUGACCUCGGAUCAGGUAGGAAUACCCGCUGAACCUAAGCAUAUCA
rnacentral:rRNA from 1 species